GACGAACGCUGGCGGCGUGCUUAACACAUGCAAGUCGAACGGAAAGGCCCUGCUUUUGUGGGGUGCUCGAGUGGCGAACGGGUGAGUAACACGUGUGUAACCUGCCCUUGACUGUGGGAUAACUUCAGGAAACUGGGGCUAAUACCGGAUAGGAGCUCCUGCUGCAUGGUGGGGGUUGGAAAGUUUCGGCGGUUGGGGAUGGACUCGCGGCUUAUCAGCUUGUUGGUGGGGUAGUGGCUUACCAAGGCUUUGACGGGUAGCCGGCCUGAGAGGGUGACCGGCCACAUUGCGACUGAGAUACGGCCCAGACUCCUACGGGAGGCAGCAGUGGGGAAUAUUGCACAAUGGGCGGAAGCCUGAUGCAGCAACGCCGCGUGCGGGAUGACGUCCUUCGGGUUGUAAACCGCUUUCGCCGGUGACGAAGCGUGAGUGACGGUAAUGGGUAAAGAAGCACCGGCUAACUACGUG
rnacentral:rRNA from 1 species